AAAAGCACAGCGCAGAUGUCAGAAAAAUAACAAAACAGCAAGACUCGAGUCAGUCUCUCGAUGCCAUUGCCUUCAACACAAGACUUUUUUUUACCGCCCGUCUUUGCAGACGCAGAAGUAGAAGAAUUUUGCAAGUGGCUCUCGGUGUUUUCUCUGGUCCGCACACGUAUCAAUAGAAGACCCUAACCGGUGAACGAUUUCAAUCCUUAUUUCGGGUGUUGGUCUGUACGAGGAACGGCACGCCAUCGCAGCCGUGCGUCCAACAGUCAAACUAUAACUUGCUGCCUCUUAGCUAACCAGUAGUGUGCUACCACGCCUCAGUCCAUUCUAUCCUUCUCCGGUCCCGAUCCUCGUUCAAGUUUGAGACAAAAUUUGUUUGACGCCGUUGCCAAGGAUUCUCACCGUCUUGGGUGAACCUCGAAGAAAAAAACUACGACUAAACAAAAGCCCUGCCUCUGUGCAAAUCAAGAGCAUAAAUCAUCAUUUAUUUAUUUUUUAUUUCUACCUUUUUCCCCUCGUCCUAACCUAAGUGUUUGAAUUCGAUUGGACGGCUCUCAAAAUCGAGCCAUCCGCCACAUCAAGUCGACUGUUGUCUGUCGUCAGUGUGUGUGUGUCUGUAUGCGUGUGUUUUCGGCACUGAUUAUUGAUCCGAACGGGGUAUAGUGGCAGCAUUUGAUAGAAGACUGUGCAACUGCAACAAGAAGGAGGAGGACAACAGGACGGCAUAAAGAAAGAAGACGACGAUAUAAUGUGUGUUGGAAAAUGUUUUGGCUUCAGUCCUCGACAGCUGUAACACUAGCAACUUUGACUAAAAUUAGCUCAGAGCGGCAGACGAACGUGAACACACAACCCGGAGUAGUCGGACGUCUCGCGUCCGAGUAGGUCGCACUCGAUCAGCUAAGCUACGGCCAUACCACAUGUCCAGUUAUUUCAGCAACAUCAAUUCAUAAACUUGUUAAUCUCAGCGGAUUUCGUUCCUUGCUUAUCGACAAUUUCAUUUUGUCGCGGAACGAAACACUGAAAAGUGACUAGUAAAUUAAGAAGAACGAAAAAUCUCGUUCAAAUUCUACCCUUAAAUCGUCAAAAUUAUUGUGGAAGUUGGUCCGCAUUUUCUUGUAAAGCUAUGUACUAGAAUGUACGUACGACGAGCUCGUAACAUGUGAUAUACGGCCUAGCCAAUUGUUAGCAAGCCAUCUCUCUCUCUCUCUCUCUCUCUCUCUUUCUUCCAGUCGGCAACCCCUUCCUACUAACACUUGAUAGGCCACAUAAGGGGGUCUAUGGAUCGAUCCGAUCCCAGCCCACUGCCGACAUUUCAGUCUGCAUUUUCCCAAAGUCAAACGCAAUCGUUUUGAAGCAAACCGAAGAAAGAGAGACCUGUGCAAUUCAAUUCGUUCAAUCAAAUAAUCAAGAAAAUUUCCAACGACUUCAAAGACAGAAAUUCAAGAGAUGGUCAGUAUGAGUGGUGACAGACAGCGCAGCGCUUCAUCGAGCGUCGUCCAAGAAGUAAGUACCAACAAAGACUCGCCAUCAGCAUCGACGUCGACGGUGGCUGGUGCCAGCAAUUGCAGCAAAGACAAGAAAAUGUCGGGCACUUCCGGUGGGCCGACGACGGGUCACGUCCUUCCCAACAGCUUGGUCACCGUUUGCGGUAGCAACGGUAUGGCUCCCGCGCUGAGCGCAGUCAACAGUUUAACAAGGAGGGCGACUUCAAACGCUACCAAUCCGAGUGAACAAGGACAACUACACAAUGAAGAAUCACCCAAUCAUAUCGUAUACAGAAAGAUGGAGCACAUCAUCGAGCGGAUGCAGGACGACAACGCCGGCGUCAGCGUCAAAAAUGUCAAAACUUUUAUGAACAAAAUACCGUCCGUUUUCACAGGCACCGACUUAACCAACUGGAUGCUGAAGAAUUUGGACGUGACGGAUCAAGCCGAAGCACUUCAUUUAGCUCAUUUGAUGUCUGCUCACGGUUACUUCUUCCCCGUGGAAGAUCACAUACUCACCGUUAAAAACGACGGCACACUUUACCGCUUUCAGACUCCUUAUUUUUGGCCGAGUAAUUGCUGGGAGCCGGAGAACACGGACUACGCCGUGUACCUUUGCAAGCGGACGAUGCAGAACAAGGCGCGAUUGGAAUUGGCCGACUACGAGGCCGAGAACCUGGCCCGUCUUCAAAAGAUGUUCUCGAGGAAGUGGGAGUUCAUCUUUAUGCAAGCGGAAGCCCAGUCGCGCGUUGACAAGAAACGCGAUAAGCUCGAACGCAAGGUCCUCGACAGUCAGGAGCGUGCCUUCUGGGAUGUUCACCGGCCCGUGCCGGGCUGCGUCAACACAACGGAAAUGGACAUCAAAAAAGCCUGCCGGAUGCACCGUCCAAUCAAGAGCGCCCGCCAUUUGUCGGUGGCCGUUGCCGGCGGUCGUAUUUCACCGUCCGUCUCUGAAGUGGACAUCCAGUGCCCGGCGGCGACCAUCCAGAAAGAGAUCGAAUUCUUGCGCAAGAAACUGGCCCGCACCAACAUCAAAGUCUCCAAGGUCGCCGAGUCCUACAUCAGUUUCUACGAGCAGUACGUCGAAUACGAUCCAUUCGUCACCUGCACCGAGCCGCCAAAUCCGUGGAUUAGCGACACCCUCGACUUUUGGGAUCAAGACAAAUCCGGGAAAGAAAUCCAGUCGAAGAGGGUCCGCCGAUGGGCGUUCAGCUUGCAGGAACUUUUGAAGGAUCCCGUCGGCAAGGAGCAUUUCACCAAGUUCCUGGAGAAAGAAUUCAGCAGCGAGAAUCUCAAAUUCUGGGAGGCGGCACAGGGAUUAAAGGCUUUGCCGUCGAGUCAAGUUGGCGCCAGGGCGAUGGAGAUCUGGAACGAAUUCCUCGGACCGGAAGCCAAGUGUCCCGUCAACGUCGAUUCCAAAUCUCACGAGGCGACGCGACUGGCCAUGGACAAACCUGAUCGAUGGACUUUUGACCGAGCCGCGGCCCACGUCUACCACUUGAUGCGGAGCGACAGCUACUCGCGCUAUCUGCGCUCCGAAAUGUACAAGGAUUUCCUUAGCGGUUCCAAGAAGAAGGUUGUAAGUCAUUUUUCUUUCAUUCCCAAAUAACCGUUCAUCAAACGGCCACCAAAACAACUCUACCACCCUUCCUCUUUUCUGCCUGCAAGCGCUCCGCGCCAUCUAGAAUGUUGUUAUUUUUUUUCUCAUCUCUCAAUUUCCCGACUACACAUCGCCAAUCUCUUCAUUUUGCGUUUCCAUGUUCUUCAUCUCAUCUGCCUGUUUCCUUCUUAUAGCGUCUGCCAUUUUUUUUUAUUUUCCGUCGCCUAUCGUGUCAUUUUCUCGCAUUUAUUCUCCCGCCCAACCCGUUAUCAGGCGUACGCUCUUCCAUCAGGGUUCAGUCAAAGACAUUCGCGCUAUUGUGACCCCGCUUACCAGAAAAGGAUGGCAAAGCAUCUUCCGAAGCAUACUGAAUUCCAUAUCUUUUCCAUGUGUCCUGUUAUUUAUAUUUUCACCAUUCAUCUUGGCGGGAAGGUAUUUUUAUUUUUCUUUUGCCCUUUGCUCCACCAAUUCUUCGCAGCGAUCACUUCACUCUCUUCUUGUGCGAAACAUUAAGCAUCCAGCUCAUCAACGUCACGAUGCCGCAAGUCUUCUAUUUAUUAUUAUUAUUGUUAUUAUUAUUAUUAUUCUUUUCCAACGAACAACGGUCAUUUCAAUCAAACCCAGUCACUUUUUUAACCCAUUUUCUUCCCGCUUUGCUGCCAGCCAUCUUGAACCCGUUGAUUGAGUUGUCUGUGGCUGAUUAUUGAAGCCUGCAUGCCACCUUCGAACGAAAUCGGCAGAUUGAAAGACUGGCCGGAGUUUUAUCGUCCCACGCCUCUCCAACUUCAACCUCACUUCAAAUUGACCGAUGAUUGCAUAUGUUAUAACGGCCAACGACAAACUUUUAACAAGGUUUUGGGGAAGAUAAAUGAAUGGGACUAUUGCUAACAUGUUCAGGCAUACCAUACAGUUGAAAAGGCAGAAUGAUCUUAGUUAAGCCAUGCCACCAAUUGCAAAAGUUCAUCCAGAACUUUCUGAUAUCUCCAGUCCUCUCAACAUCUGCUGGCCGCAUCAUCGAUAAUAUACUCCGUAGUUUUGCCAUUUUUUGUGUUCACCAAAUAUGCGUUGUAUCAACCCGUUUCUCAGCCAAUAAUUCUACGUAGUUUCUUUCUUCUGUUGUUUGCCAAUUUCCCUCGCUGUUUCACUGUCUCAAGUGCGCAUCUUAAUGCAAGCGGAGGAGGAUCCUUUCAGAAUCAUAUUGAUCUGAAUUGUUAUUGUUUCGGCCAAUUCAUCCAACAUCGUAACAGCUGAUGUUAAAAUAAAUAGCUUUAGGUGUCUUCUGAACGCGAAAAAACAAAACAAAAAAAACAAAAAAAAAAAAAAUAACAAUAAAUAAAUUUUAAAAAAAUCACAAACCAAAAAAUCUAUAGGGAAGUUAAAGCAAUAUGUGGUCUCAUUUUUCCUCCAUAUUUCUGUUCCAUAAUGCAACUGUUUGAGGAUCAUAUUCUGUACAGCACCUCUCCUUUAUUAGGGGCGACGAUUACCUAUGAUGUGAAAACAAAGAUAAUCGAAUAAUUAUAAAAAAUAAAAAACGAUGAUGGACUGUUUAUUGAUAUCAUGGCAGGGAACUAAUGAAUGUGAUGUGUGAUCGGGAUUUGCCCUUUUUUGUGUUAUUGUUAUCGCCGAGCAGAGGAUAAGAAAUGUGUAGGUAUCACGUACAUUACGUUAACGUAGUUUCACAUGCAGUUGUUUCAAUAGUUUCAUUCUGAUUUCAAACAUGCCGUUCAUGUACAAAAAAUUGGGUAGGCCAAUACAUUUGAUAUCCAGCC